CGCUGUGGUACCAGACGCAAGCUGCGGGCGACAUUGUUUGGGAUGCUGGGGGCAGAGGUUCCGGCUUCUGGCAAUAAAGAAACAACUCAGACUGUAAAAACUCUGGAGUUUAAUGUCACCGAACACAUUUUGAAAAGAACUGCCCCAGGCCUGGCGCAGUGUCUCACUCCUGUAAUCCCAGCACUUUGGGUGGAUCACGAGGUCAGGAGAUCGAGACCAUCCUGGCUAACACGGUGAAACCCCGUCUCUACUAAAAAAAAAAAAAAAAAAAGAAAGAAAAAAAUUAGCCGGGCAUGGUGGCAGGCACCUGUAGUCCCAGCUACUCGGGAGGCUGAGGCAGGAGAAUGGUGUGAACCCGGGAGGCGGAGCUUGCAGUGAGCCGAGAUCGCGCCACUGCACUCCAGCCUGGGCGACAGAGCGAGACUCCGUUUCAAAAGAAAAAAAAAAAAGAAAGAAAAUAAAAGAACUGCUCCAAAUUAUUAACUCCAUUCUCACCUCACAUGCUGUGAGCCAGGGAGUACGGAAUUUGAGUAUUAUAAAGCACGUGAGCAAAUUUCUGCUUUUCCAGAAUCCUGCCCUUUCCAAAAGGAAGACAGUAUGAUUAAGUUCCA
rnacentral:lncRNA from 1 species